GGUGCUGUGGCUCAGCGGUAGAGCACUUACCUGGCAUGUGUGAGGUGCUGGGUUCAAUCCUCAGCACCA
rnacentral:tRNA from 1 species